UACGAAGGGGGCUAGCGUUGCUCGGAAUCCUUGGGCGUAAAGCGCACGUAGGCGGUUCGUUAUGUCGGAUGUGAAAGCCCUUGGCUUAACCGAGGAAGUGCAUCCGAAACUGGCGAGCUAGAGUACGAAAGAGGAUCGCGGAAUUCCUGGUGUAGCGGUGAAAUGCGCAGAUAUCAGGAAGAACACCCGUGGCUAAGGCGGCUCUCUAGUACGGUACUGACGCUGAGACGCGAAAGCGUGGGGAGCGAACAGG
rnacentral:rRNA from 1 species